rnacentral:tRNA from 1 species
GCGGGUAUCGUAUAAUGGUUAUUAUUUCAGCCUUCCAAGUUGAUAAUGCGGGUUCGAUUCCCGCUACCCGCU